GUGCUUGCUUCAGCAGCACAUAUACUAAAAUUGGAAUGAUACAGAGAAGAUUAGCAAGGCCCCUGCGCAAGGAUGACACGCAGUGACAGCUACCAUAUGAGA